CAACUCUGCUCAAGUAUAACUCGGCCCAAACCACCUGCCGUCGUGGUGGGCCCCCCACCUGGACCGACGCCGGAAACAAGAAGCCUCCAACUCUCCUGGCCGCCGGACCAACGGGCGGCGCGCCGCAGCAGCUCCUCUCCUCUCCACCGCUGCCUUGGACCCCCCCCCCCCCCCCCCCUCUCCGCAGCAGCUUCCUGGAGAUUCCGGGGUUGGGGACUUGGAUCGGCUUCAGCAUGGCCCAUCGAUUGACGGGGGAUGCUUGGACUGGCCUUGGUCUGGAUGCUCCCGUUGUGCAACAAGGCUUGGGCAUUGCUGCUGUUGUGAGGCAGUGAGGCGCAUGUACCCUGGUGUACCGUUCGUUUGGUUUAGUGCUCGGUAUUAAGGCCAUUGAAUUUUAUUGAAAUGCCAAGACUGCGCCCAAUCCCAUUAUAUUUUCGUUGUUGCUGUGAUAUUGCGCAUUAAGAUUGGGGCAUCAGUGUUGUGAAGCACUAUUGUGGUUUACUGUUCCUUCCUUUAGUUCUGGUCCUCUGGUAUUCGAUGAGGAUCGAAUUCGUGGUCCGGUCACGGGAAGGGUUAGUCCUCCUCCAAUAGUUCGCUUGGGCAUGAGCCUUAUUGAAAUGGUCACAUGAGAGCUUAGAAGUGGUGUUGUCAGUGGUGACUCAUGAAGGAUUUCGACCUGUCUGUCUUUCAUUUGCACCCAACGGUCAGGGCAUAUCGCCAGCACAAUUUGAUGAUUGUUUUGUGAGUUGCUUGUAUAAUUGAUAAUUUCAUAAUGCAACAAACCUCGUGGUAGUUUUUGCAGGACACUGUGUGUGAAGUGUGCGGAAAUAUUGGUUACAAACAUCUUCUGGUAUGCUGCAGAGACUGCAAGUGUUCUGCUGUGCACCUAUACUGUUUGGACAAAGUUAUCUUUGAUGCAUCAUUAGCAGAAUGGUGGUGUGAUGAAUGCCUACAGAGGCGUGGUGAAGUUCCUUGCAACAGAUCUUUAGAGAGGGUGUCUAGUCAAAGGUCGCCAAAUCAUGAUCAUUUUGGUUCUACAGUACAGCAGCAAGUUACCAAGAGAGUGAAGUCAGCAAAGAAUGCAGGGCCAAGGAGAAAAAGUAAAGCAGAAGAUAUUCCCUCUGCAAAAUAUUCUUUGGACUCGGAUGAUCUUCAGGCAUCCUCAAAGGCUCAUUAUGUUUUAUCAUAUAGAAGUUAUCUAUCUGAAGCACAAAAGCAAAGGGUAAUGGCAUUUAUCAAGGAAAUUCAACCUAAAAUCACUGUUUUUGUAGCAGUCAUGCUAAAGAGGAAUGUUCAACCCCCGGGCCCUUUUCUGAAGCACAUCAUGUUCCAUCUGUUAUCAGGGUAUUUCCAAGGAAUAUGCAUUUCCACAUUUCCCACAUAAAAGUGCAAAUGUCACACUUCAGACGCCUAGCAAGAGCAACAAGUGGCAUCUUAAAUUCUACAAAAGAAAUGCCAGUAGAAAGAACAUGCUUAUGGGGCAGUGGUUAGAAUUUGUGCGUGACAAUCAUGUGCAGGAGGGAGAUAUCUGCCUCCUUUUUCCAACAGCGGGUGGGAGAAGAUACACA